AUUGAACGCUGGCGGCAUGCCUUACACAUGCAAGUCGAACGGCAGCACGGGAGCAAUCCUGGUGGCGAGUGGCGAACGGGUGAGUAAUAUAUCGGAACGUGCCCAGUCGUGGGGGAUAACGCAGCGAAAGCUGUGCUAAUACCGCAUACGAUCUAAGGAUGAAAGCGGGGGAUCGCAAGGCCUCGCGCGAUUGGAGCGGCCGAUAUCAGAUUAGCUAGUUGGUGGGGUAAAGGCCCACCAAGGCGACGAUCUGUAGCUGGUCUGAGAGGACGACCAGCCACACUGGAACUGAGACACGGUCCAGACUCCUACGGGAGGCAGCAGUGGGGAAUUUUGGACAAUGGGCGCAAGCCUGAUCCAGCAAUGCCGCGUGCAGGAUGAAGGCCUUCGGGUUGUAAACUGCUUUUGUACGGAACGAAACGGCCCUUUCUAAUACAGGGGGCUAAUGACGGUACCGUAAGAAUAAGCACCGGCUAACUACGUGCCAGCCGCCGCCGUAAAAC
rnacentral:rRNA from 1 species